rnacentral:lncRNA from 1 species
UUGGUUCUGAGCAGCUAUCAUAGAUUCCAUCGAUGCCGUAAGUCUGGAGAUCUCAUCCUUCCUCUCUCUAUUUUCUUGCUAUAGAUGCUCCAUUCUUCUCAAUUGAUUAGCUUGAGUGUUAUAGUGAUGAGUCAGCUUGGCUGAUACACAGAAGAAGAACUGAUAAGACAUAUGGAGGAAGAAACAUGUUAUGCAAAUGAUGCAUGAAAUGCAAUGUUUUUUAUUGUUUUU